rnacentral:rRNA from 1 species
UACGGAGGAUGCAAGCGUUGUCCGGAUUUAUUGGGUUUAAAGGGUGCGUAGGCGGUCCGAUAAGUCAGUGGUUAAAUCACCUUGCUCAACAAGGGAAGUGCCAUUGAUACUGUCAGACUUGAAUGUUGUUUAGGUAAGCGGAAUUGGUAGUGUAGCGGUGAAAUGCUUAGAUAUUACCAGGAACACCGAUAGCGUAGGCAGCUUACUGAACAAAGAUUGACGCUGAGGCACGAAAGUGUGGGUAUCAAACAGG